rnacentral:rRNA from 1 species
UACGUAGGGCGCAAGCGUGUCCGGAUUUAUUGGGCGUAAAGAGCUCGUAGGCGGUUUGUCGCGUCUUCCGUGAAAACUGGGGGCUUAACUUCCAGCUUGCGGUCGAUACGGGCAGGCUAGAGUUCGGUAGGGGAGACUGGAAUUCCUGGGUGUAGCGGUGAAAUGCGCAGAUAUCAGGAGGAACACCGGUGGCGAAGGCGGGGUCUCUGGGGCCCGAUACUGACGUGAGGA